UACAGAGGUCUCAAGCGUUGUUCGGAUUCAUUGGGCGUAAAGGGUGUGUAGGUGGCGCCGUAAGUGAGGUGUGAAAUUUCGGAGCUUAACUCCGAAACUGCAUUCGAUACUGCGGUGCUUGAGGACUGGAGAGGAGACUGGAAUUCAUGGUGUAGCAGUGAAAAUGCGUAGAGAUCAUGAGGAAGACCAGUGGCGAAGGCGGGUCUCUGGACAGUUCCUGACACUGAGACACGAAGGCCAGGGGAGCAAACGGG
rnacentral:rRNA from 1 species